GACAAUCUGCCCUGGAGAAGAGAAUAAUCCCGGGAAACUGGGGGUAAUGCUCUAUAUCGGGACUGGAAUGUUCCGUAAAGAUCCGUCGCUUCAGGAUGAGUCUGCGGCCGAUUAGGUAGUUGUGGGGUAAAAGCCCACAAGCCCGUAAUCGGUACGGGUUGUGGGAGCAAGAGCCCGGAGAUGGAUCUGAGACAGAAUCCAGGCCCUACGGGGCGCAGCAGGCGCGAAAACUUUACAAUGCGGCAACGUGAUAAGGAAACCCCGAGUGCCACCGCUGGCUGUCCCCGUGUAAACAACGGUGAAGAAAGGGCCGGGCAAGACCGGUGCCAGCCGCCGCGGUAAUACCGGCGGCUCGAGUGGUGGCCGCUUUUACUGGGCUUAAAGGGACCGUAGCUGGAUUCCAAGUCCCUGAGAAAUCUUCGGCUUAACGAAGGCGUCGGGGAUACUGGGUUCUAGGGACCGGGAGAGGUAGAGGUACUGCGGGGUAGGAGUGAAAUCCUGUAAUCCCGUGGGACGACCUAUAGCGAAGGCAUCUACCAGAACGGUCCGACAGUGAGGGACGAAAGCUGGGGGAGCAAACCGGAUUAGAUACCCGGGUAGUCCCAGCUGUAAACGAUGCGGUUAGGUGUGCAGACCCGUGUACUGUGUGCCGAGGGAAACCGUGAAACCGCCGCCUGGGGAGUACGGUCGCGAG
rnacentral:rRNA from 1 species